rnacentral:rRNA from 1 species
UACAGAGGGUGCGAGCGUUGUUCGGAAUUACUGGGCGUAAAGCGUGCGUAGGUGGUCGUUUAAGUCCGUUGUGAAAGCCCUGGGCUCAACCUGGGAAUUGCAGUGGAUACUGGGCGACUAGAGUGCGGUAGAGGGUAGUGGAAUUUCCGGUGUAGCGGUGAAAUGCGUAGAUAUCGGAAGGAACACCAGUGGCGAAAGCGGCUUCCUGGUCCAGCACCGACGUUCAGGCACGAAAGCGUGGGGAGCAAACAGG